rnacentral:rRNA from 1 species
UACGUAGGGUGCGAGCGUUGUCCGGAAUUACUGGGCGUAAAGGGCGCGUAGGCGGCAAGGCAAGUCAGGUGUGAAAGCCCCGAGCUUAACUCGGGAAUUGCAUCUGAAACUGCUGUGCUUGAGUUCUGGAGGGGGUAGUGGGAUUCCCAGUGUAGCGGUGAAAUGCGUAGAUAUUGGGAGGAACACCUGCGGCGAAGGCGGCUACCUGGACAGAAACUGACGCUGAGGCGCGAAAGCUAGGGGAGCGAACGGG